GGGAGAUGUGGAACGAUCCGAAUCGAGUGCACAUGAAUGCCUCGAUCGAGCUAAGCACGAGGGACAUCGAGGCCUCGGAUCGUAUAGCGCGUACACUUACUGCAUACUCUGUGCCGCGCGGUGUUCCCUUUGUCCUUUGCCAAAGGGAAGACUUUACUUUUGAAGAUGUCGAGGAUGCGCAUGAGCCACCCACUGAACGAGAGAUGGAAGGUGGUCAGAGGCGAUCUAUUCUUUAUCACGACGCUGCACCUCUGUACAUGCGCAAGAGGUUUCGCGCGGGCAAACUGAUAAGCUUGCGCCAAAAGAAAGAUAAAGCUCGCAGCGAGCCUCGAAGGAC
rnacentral:lncRNA from 1 species